rnacentral:rRNA from 1 species
CGGGUGAGUAACGCGUAGGUAACCUGCCUUGUAGCGGGGGAUAACUAUUGGAAACGAUAGCUAAUACCGCAUAACAAUGGAUGACACAUGUCAUUUAUUUGAAAGGGGCAAUUGCUCCACUACAAGAUGGACCUGCGUUGUAUUAGCUAGUAGGUGAGGUAAUGGCUCACCUAGGCGACGAUACAUAGCCGACCUGAGAGGGUGAUCGGCCACACUGGGACUGAGACACGGCCCAGACUCCUACGGGAGGCAGCAGUAGGGAAUCUUCGGCAAUGGGGGCAACCCUGACCGAGCAACGCCGCGUGAGUGAAGAAGGUUUUCGGAUCGUAAAGCUCUGUUGUAAGUCAAGAACGGGUGUGAGAGUGGAAAGUUCACACUGUGACGGUAGCUUACCAGAAAGGG